rnacentral:misc_RNA from 1 species
AACGCACAUUGCACCUUCUGGUAUUCCAGGAGGUAUGCCUGUUCGAGCGUCAUUUCAACCCUCAAGCUCAGCUUGGUAUUGGGUGUCACUUAGUUAGGUGCACCUUAAAAUUAGUGGCGGUGCCAUCUAACUUCAAGUGUAGUAAACUUCUCACUUUGGAGGUUUAGAUAUGUGUUUGCCAUCAAUGUUUUAUUUUUCAAUGGUUGACCUCGGAUCAGGUAGGGAUACCCGCUGAACUUAA